rnacentral:rRNA from 1 species
CCUACGGGUGGCAGCAGUGAGGAAUAUUGCACAAUGGGGGAAACCCUGAUGCAGCGACGCCGCGUGAAGGAAGAAGUAUUUCGGUAUUUAAACCUCUAUCAGCAUGGGAGAAAAUGACGGUACCUGACUAAGAAUCCCCGGCUAACUACGUGCCAGCAGCCGCGGUAAUACGUAGGGGGCAAGCGUUAUCCGGAUUUACUGGGUGUAAAGGGAGCGUAGGCGGUUUAGCAAGUCAGAAGUGAAAGCUUGGGGCUCAACCCCGGGACUGCUGUUGAAACUGGUUGACUGGAGUGCAGGUGAGGUAAGCGGAAUUCCUAGUGUAGCGGUGAAAUGCGUAGAUAUUAGGAGGAACACCAGUGGCGAAGGCGGCUUACUGGACUGUAACUGACGCUGAGGCUCGAAAGCGUGGGGAGCAAACAGGAUUAGAUACCCUAGUAGUC